UUCUUACUUUGAUAACUUUUGAUCCGGAGCUCCGAUUGAUGAGCCGUUUGCGGCCACGCGUCGGGCUCGUUGAGUUCUUCAAUUCUAUUCAAAUAAAACAGGGUCCACUAGACUUGAUUUCUUGUGGGUAUUGCCCAAGGAUCAGUGGGUAAAGGUAGUGUGUAUGUGAAUGCUGAUGCUUGUUGGAGGCUUGUUGGUGAUCAAGCUUGGCUUGGGGCUGUUUGAUUGAGCUUGGAGGGGCUGUAAUUUUGAGUUGUGAGGCUGCCUUGGGUGAAUUAAGUGAUCGGCCAAGGUAUGGUUUAAGUUUCGCACGUUUAAUAUUUACGGUGUUGUGAAAACUUAGGUUAGAGGAACUAUAGAAUAAGUUGGAUUGUUUUUUGUAUUUAAUGAUUAGCCUUGUAAUAUUGUUAGAAUAGAUUUGUUAGUGAAUUUAUAUAUUAGAAUUAUGAGGUGUGAAAGUUAUUAAUGGUGUGCUCUUAUAUUUAUUUAUGAUGGAUUAGAAUUGGUGUUUGUUAAUAAGGAUGUAGAGUUGUGUUGUGGUGGUAUUGUAUAUGCUGUAACUAAUUAUGUAAUGAUCGGAAUUGCAUGAGACCAAAUUUGGGCUAAACUUGGGAAUAUAAGGAACUAAACUGGAAAAUUUGGGACCUUUUUGUUAAAUAUACAAUUUAUGGCAAAUUUUUAAAGUUAGGUUGUUAAAUCUGUCCAGCAGCAGAAAAGAUCAAACAGGGCAGCAACUUGUUUGUCUUUCUGCGACUUCUACGAGUUGAGUUUUGGAGCGAAACUAAUUUUGUUAUAAAAUUUGAUUAACUCGCUUUAUUUCUCUAAAAUUUCAGAAUUUUAAGAGUUGAGGAUUGGGAGCUGUGAAUUUUUGAAUAUUGGUGGUCAAAACUGAAAAGAAACAGAUUUCAGCAAGCUAUGCAUCAACUUCCAAUGCUUGUAACUCUUAGAAUUAAAUAGAAAUUGGGUUGCAACCAAGACAAACUUGUUUCUGGAUGAGCUAGGGGUUAUCAAAUCAA